AACCGGGUUUAAAACUGGUUUACUCACACAGUGACCCAGGAGAGCUCAGGUGAGACACAGAUCCUGCACAGAGUCUCACUCCAAUGCUGAAAUGCUCCUUGGAAGCUCCUCAGGGCACGUGGAGAUGGAAUUCUCCAGGAGAAGGAUGGAGAAGGAUGAGAAAACCUGUUUGUGCUGGUACUGACAGAGAAAUGAAUUUCUGCACCGACUCGAAUUUCAGAGGUGAUUAUAUCUCUUGGAGAACCUGUGGCCUGGAAUUAGUUUAUCCAUGUGCUUUGACCUCCAGCCCAUUCCAGGCCCUUCUUGAAGCCCCCAGGGCAGUGGGGGGGGGUAUGAGUUUGCU